rnacentral:rRNA from 1 species
GUGCACGCUGGCGGUAGGCCUAACACAUGCAAGUCGCACGGCAGCACAGUAAGAGCUUGCUCUUACGGGUGGCGAGUGGCGGACGGGUGAGGAAUACAUCGGAAUCUACUUUUUCGUGGGGGAUAACGUAGGGAAACUUACGCUAAUACCGCAUACGACCUACGGGUGAAAGCAGGGGAUCUUCGGACCUUGCGCGAUUGAAUGAGCCGAUGUCGGAUUAGCUAGUUGGCGGGGUAAAGGCCCACCAAGGCGACGAUCCGUAGCUGGUCUGAGAGGAUGAUCAGCCCCCCGGGACCUGAGCCCCGUUCCAGCCUCCUACGGAAGGCAGCAGUGGGGAAUAUUGGCCAUUGGGCGCAAGCCUGAUCCAGCCUUCCCGCGUGGUUGAAGAAGGCCUUCGGUUUGUAAAGCCCUCUUUUUGGGAAAGAAAAGCAGCGGGUAAUACCCCGCUGUUCUGACGGUACCCAAAGAAUAAGCACCGGCUAACUUCGUG